rnacentral:misc_RNA from 1 species
AACCAAUGUGAAAUCUCUGAC